AGUGAACGCUGGCGGUAGGCCUAACACAUGCAAGUCGAACGGCAGCACAGUAAGAGCUUGCUCUUACGGGUGGCGAGUGGCGGACGGGUGAGGAAUACAUCGGAAUCUACUUUUUCGUGGGGGAUAACGUAGGGAAACUUACACUAAUACCGCAUACGACCUACGGGUGAAAGCAGGGGAUCUUCGGACCUUGCGCGAUUGAAUGAGCCGAUGUCGGAUUAGCUAGUUGGCGGGGUAAAGGCCCACCAAGGCGACGAUCCGUAGCUGGUCUGAGAGGAUGAUCGGCCACCAUGGAACUGAGACACGGUCCAGACUCCUACGGGAGGCAGCAGUGGGGAAUAUUGGACAAUGGGCGCAAGCCUGAUCCAGCCAUACCGCGUGGGUGAAGAAGGCCUUCGGGUUGUAAAGCCCUUUUGUUGGGAAAGAAAAGCAGCAGGUUAAUACCCCGCUGUUCUGACGGUACCCAAAGAAUAAGCACCGGCUAACUUCGUG
rnacentral:rRNA from 1 species